CACCUGGGUUCUGGUCAGCCUAGGCCAUAAAUGCAGCAGCUUGAACCUGAGCUCACUACCUCCGCGUGGGAUGCUGUCCGGCGACCAGUUUGCCCAGGGAAGGAGGCUAUCUUCAGGAAGAAAUACGGGUUACUGCGAACACGAAAGGCCACCAGGAGCGGAGUGAGGGCGUACAGCAAGUUGGCUGCCAGAACCUGGCAGAAGACGUCGUUUGGGACGCGAAACGGAGCCUUGGUGUGAGGAUGGAAGGACCCCCCGAUGUGAGCCCACUGGCACUGUGGACAACAAAGAGGCCUCGGAGGACGGUGAAGGCCAUGGCAGCCAACAGGAGAAACACCAGGAUCAGGUCCAAGGGUCGCCAGACGAGCUUCAUGCUCUGUGCGUGCUGAGCCUGCAGGUGGAAGGACGCCAGCGUUACAACACAGCAUGCAUGGCUAAUUGUACUGGGCCAUCAUCACUUGGCAAGGAAGUAUGGGUUAUCCAGCAGCAAGAGGUAUUGUUUUCAGCACUGUUAGUUUGCUACUUAGUUAGUAGUUUGGGGGGGGAUGUGUACUGCUGGGCACCAUCAAACUUUGGUGGGUUUAGUUUGGUUUAUUAAGCAUCCCCAUUAGUCUACACCAUUAUUUUUCAACCUUUUUUGAGCUGAGGCACAUUUUUUGUGUUGAAAAAAUCCAGAGGAACACCACUAGCAGAAAUCAUUAAAAAACGAAACUCUGUUGACAGUAAAAAGUCGUUGUCGCAAUUGUUGGAUAUGACUUUAAAGCAGUGGUUCUUAACCUUGUUGGAGGUACCGAACCCCACCAGUUUCAUAUGCGCAUUCACCGAACCAGAACCGUAAUCAUAAAAUGAUUUAUUAUAUUAAAG